rnacentral:rRNA from 1 species
CAGUAGCCGCGGUAAUACGAGGGGUGCAAGCGUUAUUCGGAUUGAUUGGGUGUAAAGGGUGUGCAGACGGCUUAUUAAGUCACUUGUUAAAUUCUUCGGCCUAACUGAAGGUCUGCAAGUGAUACUGAUGAGCUAGAGGGUGGAAGAGAGAAGUGGAAUUCUCGGAGUAGCGGUAAAAUGCGUAGAUAUCGGGAGGAACACCUGUGGCGAAAGCGGCUCACUGGACCAUUUCUGACGCUGAUGCACGAAAGCUAGGGGAGCAAACAGGAUUAGAUACCCCCGUAGUCCCUGUCUCUUAUAC